rnacentral:rRNA from 1 species
CCUACGGGGGGCAGCAGUGAGGAAUAUUGGUCAAUGGGCGCGAGCCUGAACCAGCCAAGUCGCGUGAGGGAAGACAGUCCUAUGGAUUGUAAACCUCUUUAGGCGGGGAGCAAUGCCGGGCACGCGUGCCCGGAGGGAGAGUACCCGCAGAAUAAGCAUCGGCUAACUCCGUGCCAGCAGCCGCGGUAAUACGGAGGAUGCGAGCGUUAUCCGGAUUUAUUGGGGUUAAAGGGUGCGUAGGCGGAUUUUUAAGUCAGCGGUAAAAUGUCCGGGCUCAACCCGGGCCGGCCGUUGAAACUGGGGAGCUUGAGUGGGCGAGAAGUAUGCGGAAUGCGUGGUGUAGCGGUGAAAUGCAUAGAUAUCACGCAGAACUCCGAUUGCGAAGGCAGCAUACCGGCGCCCGACUGACGCUGAGGCACGAAAGCGUGGGGAUCGAACAGGAUUAGAUACCCCAGUAGUC